rnacentral:rRNA from 1 species
GUGAGGAAUAUUGGUCAAUGGGCGAGAGCCUGAACCAGCCAAGUCGCGUGAAGGAAGACGGCCCUACGGGUUGUAAACUUCUUUUGCAAUGGAAUAAAAAGAGUUACGUGUAAUUCAUUGUAUGUACAUUGCGAAUAAGGAUCGGCUAACUCCGUGCCAGCAGCCGCGGUAAUACGGAGGAUCCGAGCGUUAUCCGGAUUUAUUGGGUUUAAAGGGUGCGUAGGCGGAUUGGAAAGUCAGCGGUGAAAGUUUGCAGCUUAACUGUAAAAUUGCCAUUGAAACUGUCAGUCUUGAGUGCAAAUGAGGUAGGCGGAAUGUGUUGUGUAGCGGUGAAAUGCAUAGAUAUAACACAGAACACCAAUUGCGAAGGCAGCUUACUGGGAUGCAACUGACGCUGAGGCACGAAAGCGUGGGGAUCAAACAGGAUUAGAAACCCGGGUAGUCC